AACCAACGCUGGCGGCGUGCCUCAGACAUGCAAGUCGAACGCGAAAGUUUCCUUCGGGAGACAAGUAGAGUGGCGCACGGGUGAGUAACACGUAGGUAAUCUACCUUUGGAUGGGGAAUAACAACCGGAAACGGUUGCUAAUACCGCAUAAUGCAGCGGCACCUAAUGGUGACAGUUGUUAAAGCGGGGGAUCGAAAGACCUCGCGUCUGAAGAGGAGCCUGCGGCGGAUUAGCUAGUGGUAAGGUAAUGGCUUACCAAGGCUACGAUCCGUAACCGGCCUGAGAGGGCGGUCGGUCACACUGACACUGACAUACGGGUCAGACUCCUACGGGAGGCAGCAGUCGGGAAUUUUGGGCAAUGGGCGAAAGCCUGACCCAGCAACGCCGCGUGAAGGAUGAAAUCCCUCGGGAUGUAAACUUCGCAAGAACGGGAAGAAUAAGUAGGGGACAAUACCCCCUAUGAUGACGGUACCGUUAGUAAGCUCCGGCUAACUCCGUGCCAGCA
rnacentral:rRNA from 1 species